UUCAAUAAUUGUUUUGAGCAGCAGAAAAAGUAUUGUAAGACUGGAAUGCUGAUGCCUUGAGAGACACAUACAGCAUCUGUGUGGAAACUGGAAGCCAGGUGCCGCCUGACUGUGAGGCCUGCCCUGUUUGCAUGGAUGUGGAUGAUUUCAGCAAGGGAAUGGAUGGAAGCAGGCACAACAGAGUUCAGCCUCAGCCGACAGUUCAGUUCUCCUUUCCCCAGACCACACACCACCACCUCAAAGAAUCAUACCCCUUACGGAGGAUGGGCACAUCCAGGGCCUCACCACUCACGCCCUGGCUCUGGCCACUAUCUGCAUGACUGCAGUCAGCCACUUGGCCAAGCACAGGGGCUGUCCAGCCCAGAGCUAUGCCUGCCCUGACUGCCAAAGGCUGAGCCAUUUCAAGAGUGAGUGAACUGAAAUGAAGAGAACGUGAGGAGAGAAGGCUACCCAGGUGUUUAUGUGAUUUCUGGACUCUUUUGCAGCACUGACAAAGUCAAGCUCUUCCAUCUCUGCGUGAUAGAAUUUUCGGCAGGCAUCUUUAAAAGUCUAGAAUAGACAGAGUGACAUAACUGCACAGCUCCAAAAAUAGUGAACACCAACAGCUUACUUCUUCAUUGCACCAAAUCAGAAAGUCAAUAA